rnacentral:lncRNA from 11 species
GCUUGCUUAAGAAAAUCCUGUUGUUCUAUACUCCUGUCAGCAAGUAACACAGGAACCAAAACCAGCAAGAAGUAAAACAGGGCCAUAAAUCAUAGCUAAUCCAAGUGCUUUGCUGAUUUACCUUGGACUGAAGUGUGGUGGUUAUGUACAGGGGUGCUUCCCACCCUGGAGUACAAAAGGUAUGAUCUUUGUGAAGACUACAGCAAGAAAGGUAAAUGUUAAACUCUCCCUACUCCUGGUGUGAUUGUGAUAAUUAAAACCCUCUAUUGUUGUCCCAAUGUUUAUAAAAGUAUAUGAUUAUGUGCUGAUCCAAAAAUGUGCAUAUACUAAUA